rnacentral:rRNA from 1 species
UACGUAGGGCGCAAGCGUUGUCCGGAAUUAUUGGGCGUAAAGAGCUCGUAGGCGGUUUGUCGCGUCUGCCGUGAAAGUCCGGGGCUUAACUCCGGAUCUGCGGUGGGUACGGGCAGACUAGAGUGCAGUAGGGGAGACUGGAAUUCCUGGUGUAGCGGUGAAAUGCGCAGAUAUCAGGAGGAACACCGAUGGCGAAGGCAGGUCUCUGGGCUGUAACUGACGCUGAGGAGCGAAAGCAUGGGGAGCGAACAGG